rnacentral:rRNA from 1 species
ACUGACAGCCAUGGUUACCGCGGCUGCUGGCACGGAGUUAGCCGGUGCUUCUUCUGUGAGUGAUGUCCUUCCUGCCGGUUAUUGACCCGCAGGCCUUCUUCCUCACUGAAAGUGCUUUACAACCCGAAGGCCUUCUUCACACACGCGGCAUGGCUGGAUCAGGGUUGCCCCCAUUGUCCAAUAUUCCCCACUGCUGCCUCCCGUAGGAGUCUGGGCCGUGUCUCAGUCCCAGUGUGGCUGAUCAUCCUCUCAGACCAGCUACGGAUCGUCGCCUUGGUGAGCCGUUACCUCACCAACCAGCUAAUCCGACAUAGGCUCAUCCGAUAGCGCGAGGCCCGAAGGUCCCCCGCUUUCCCCCGAGGGCGUAUGCGGUAUUAGCCUGGGUUUCCCCAGGUUAUCCCCCCAUACCGGGCAGAUUCCUAUGCAUUACUCACCCGU